rnacentral:rRNA from 1 species
AUUGAACGCUGGCGGCAGGCCUAACACAUACAAGUCGAACGAGUGGCGGACGGGUGAGUAAUGUCUGGGAAACUGCCCGAUGGAGGGGGAUAACUACUGGAAACGGUAGCUAAUACCGCAUCCCAUCGGAUGUCCCCAGAUGGGAUUCGCUAGUAGGUGGGGGAACGGCUCACCUAGGCGACGAUCCCUAGCUGGUCUGAGAGGAUGACCAGCAACACUGGAACGAGGACACGGUCCAGACUCCUACGGGAGGCAGCGGUGAGGAAUAUUGGACAAUGGGCGCAAGCCUGAUGCAGCCAUGCCGGGUGUAUGAAGAGGGCCUUCGGGGUGUAAAGUACUUUCAGCGAGGAGGCGUUACUCGCAGAAGAAGCACCGGCUAACUCCGUGCCAGCAGCCGCGGUAAUAC